AUUGAACGCUGGCGGCAUGCCUUACACAUGCAAGUCGAACGGUAACGGGCCUUCGGGUGCCGACGAGUGGCGAACGGGUGAGUAAUGCAUCGGAACGUACCAUUGAGUGGGGGAUAACGUAGCGAAAGUUACGCUAAUACCGCAUAUUCUGUGAGCAGGAAAGCAGGGGAUCGCAAGACCUUGCGCCCUUUGAGCGGCCGAUGUCGGAUUAGCUAGUUGGUGGGGUAAAGGCCCACCAAGGCUACGAUCCGUAGCGGGUCUGUGAGGAUGAUCCGCCACACUGGGACUGAGACACGGCCCAGACUCCUACGGGAGGCAGCAGUGGGGAAUUUUGGACAAUGGGGGCAACCCUGAACCAGCCAUGCCGCGUGAGUGAAGAAGGCCUUCGGGUUGUAAAGCUCUUUCGGCCAGGAAGAAAUCGUGUGGGCUAAUACCCUGCAUGGAUGACGGUACCGGAAUAAGAAGCACCGGCUAACUACGUGCCAGCCGCCGCGGUAA
rnacentral:rRNA from 1 species